rnacentral:rRNA from 1 species
AGAGUUUGAUCAUGGCUCAGAUUGAACGCUGGCGGCAUGCCUUACACAUGCAAGUCGAACGGUAACGCGGGGGCAACCCUGGCGACGAGUGGCGAACGGGUGAGUAGCGCAUCGGAACGUGCCCAGUAGUGGGGGAUAGCUCGGCGAAAGCCGGAUUAAUACCGCAUACGACCUACGGGUGAAAGCGGGGGACCGCAAGGCCUCGCGCUAUUGGAGCGGCCGAUGCCCGAUUAGCUAGUUGGUGAGGUAAAGGCUCACCAAGGCAACGAUCGGUAGCUGGUCUGAGAGGACGACCAGCCACACUGGGACUGAGACACGGCCCAGACUCCUACGGGAGGCAGCAGUGGGGAAUUUUGGACAAUGGGGGAAACCCUGAUCCAGCCAUGCCGCGUGCGGGAAGAAGGCCUUCGGGUUGUAAACCGCUUUUGGCAGGAACGAAACGGCGCGAGCUAAUACCUCGCGCUAAUGACGGUACCUGCAGAAUAAGCACCGGCUAACUACGUGCCAGCAGCCGCGGUAAUACGUAGGGUGCAAGCGUUAAUCGGAAUUACUGGGCGUAAAGCGUACGCAGGCGGCCAUGCAAGACAGGUGUGAAAUCCCCGGGCUUAACCUGGGAACUGCAUUUGUGACUGCAUGGCUAGAGUCCGUAAGAGGGGGGUGGAAUUCCACGUGUAGCAGUGAAAUGCGUAGAGAUGUGGAGGAACACCGAUGGCGAAGGC